GAUGAACGCUGGCGGCGUGCCUAAUACAUGCAAGUCGAGCGAACCACUUCGGUGGUGAGCGGCGAACGGGUGAGUAACACGUAGGUGAUCUGCCCAUCAGACGGGGACAACGAUUGGAAACGAUCGCUAAUACCGGAUAGGACGAAAGUUUAAAGGUGCUUCUGGCACCGCUGAUGGAUGAGCCUGCGGCGCAUUAGCUAGUUGGUAGGGUAAAGGCCUACCAAGGCGACGAUGCGUAGCCGACCUGAGAGGGUGAACGGCCACACUGGGACUGAGACACGGCCCAGACUCCUACGGGAGGCAGCAGUAGGGAAUCUUCGGCAAUGGGCGAAAGCCUGACCGAGCAACGCCGCGUGAAUGAUGAAGGCCUUCGGGUUG
rnacentral:rRNA from 1 species